AACGAACGCUGGCGGCAGGCCUAACACAUGCAAGUCGAACGCAUCCUUCGGGGUGAGUGGCGCACGGGUGAGUAACACGUGGGAAUGUACCCUUUGGUUCGGAAUAACGUCUGGAAACGGACGCUAAUACCGGAUGAGCACUUAGGGGGAAAGAUUUAUAGCCGAAGGAGCAGGCCGCGUCUGAUUAGGUAGUUGGUGGGGUAAAGGCCUACCAAGCCGACGAUCAGUGGCUGGUCUGAGAGGAUGAUCAGCCACACUGGGACUGAGACACGGCCCAGACUCCUACGGGAGGCAGCAGUGGUGAAUAUUGGACAAUGGGCGCAAGCCUGAUCCAGCCAUGCCGCGUGAGUGAUGAAGGCCUUCGGGUUGUAAAGCUCUUUCGCACACGACGAUGAUGACGGUAGUGUGAGAAGAAGCCCCGGCUAACUUCGUGCCAGCCGCCGCUGUAAUAC
rnacentral:rRNA from 1 species